UGUCCUCGAUUUCCCGCCAAAUAGUCUCCUUUCUAACUUUUGUUGUCUCUGCUCUACUACCAUUAACUACCAUUCAUUAAGUUACUAGAUUUUAUUCCGGCAACAUUGUCUUUCAUUUCUGAAUUUUGAGAGAAGCGCGUUGUCGACAGCAAAUAAAUCUCAUUUAUUUAACUGUUUAUUCUUGUUGAAAAUUAGCUUUAUUUCAAAAUGAAGAUCUUGGCGUUCGUCUGUUUACUGAAACUUGCCAUGUGCAUAGCAUUGCCGGCUGAACAGUCUGGAGCCCAACUGGGAACUACAGUACCCGUUCCUCAUGAUAUCCCUCAAGCUCCAGGUAAACCUGAAGAAAACGCAACAGCAGUUCAGCCUACGAAACAAAACACAACUUCUGCAGUAGAUACUAAGACUGAUGAUAAAAAAGUAAAACCUGAAGCAGAAAAAGUCACAGAAGCAACACCUGUAUCCGCGUCAUCAGUGCCUGCUUCUGUGAAACCAGAUGAACAUGCCAGCACAAAAGACAACAAAGUAGUUGAUAAAGAGACAAAAGAAAAAACUGAUGAAGAGAAAAAGGGUCCCGUUUCUGAACCAACUAAAAUUGUACCAGAACACCAGACAGAAGCUGCUAAAAAAAGUGAAACAAGCUCUUCAACUGAAGCCAAAAAAGAGGAUGCGACCACUCCGAAAUCAGAACUUGCCAAAUCUACUGAAGCCCCCACACACAUAGAACCAACUGUACAGGCAAGAGCGUAAGUACCUAAUUGUGUUUUAUUAAAAGUUUGGCAAGCAUAUAAAAUAAAAUUUAAUUCAGGAAAAAUCUGUGCAUCAAACUAGACAUCUAUCUAUCUUUUUGCUAAUAUUAAUCCUUAUCUAAAAACAAUAUUUUUAAUCUCUUUACAGAUUUGAUGGACCAAGCUUUGUUGGUGGAAUCAUACUGACCCUUGGUCUCUUGGCUAUAGGAUUCAUGGGAUUCAAAUACUACAAGAACCACACUGAAAGAAACUACCAUACACUAUAAAUUUCAUCUCGAAUAAAGUGCACCAAUUUAUUGUAAGAAUUUAUGUUUUAGUAUUUUAUUUUCUGAGUGCACUACCACGUUUUAUAAAUUGUAAAACAGGGUUUUUACAUUCAUGUACCUAUAUAGAAUGUUUUCACAUUAGAAGUUUGUAAUGGGGUUUUGGUCCUAGUUAUAAUUUGAGAUUCGAAUUUAUGUUUUGAUUUUAAGUCUUCAUUUAAGAAUGUUACGGCAUGUUUAUUUUUGUGUAUGAUGCACAUUUUUCUUUAAAGCACUAAACUUUUAUUCUUAAAGAGAAUAUUAAUAAGAUUGAUAUAAUUAAUGGCUAAGCUUUCAUGUAUCUUUGAGUGCAAUUUUGUUGUAGAUAUUUUAAACCGUGCCAUGGUUUUCGGGGAAUCUCGCAUUUAAAGUAUAAUCGCAGCUUCACCUACUUGAAAUAUAUUUUUUAAGAAAAUAUUCUAUUAACAUAAGUGUUAUUUUAAGGAAACUCAAUGUGAUGAUGAAAAGGGUCUAAAGUAGAACCAAUUCCGUUUUGACACAAACAAGUUUUUGAAUCUCCUAUCUCUGUGUCUUUGUUUGAAAACAAUUCAUUACCAAUUUACUGAAUCUCCUUCAAAUGCUUAAAACUAAUUAUUUUUUUCGUUGUUCUUUUUCUUUUUAAAUGGAUUAUAACCAACUAUUUAUAAACUGGGUAAAGUUGAUUCCAUCCUGAAGUGCUCUUAAUAUAACUGGUCUAUUAUUCGAAUAAUCGUUCAGAGAUGUAUAAUUCACUGUUGUUUCCUGUUAUAUAUAAAUAUUGCUACUUGUGUCACAGUCAAUGGUUAUGUUAAAUUUAAAUAAACAUAUUGAAAAA